CAAUCGAUCGAAAUACAUUUGGAUCGAUCAAAGCUCAUCUAAAUCGAUCAAAAUACAUUUGGAUCGAUCGAAGAAAGUGUUCAAUCGAUCGAAAAUCCUUCGAUCGAUCGAAAUUGCGUCUUUUGAAUUUUCGAAAAAUGCUUUGGCCGUUCAAUUUCCACCCUAAGCCCUAAUUUUUAUUUUAUUUUCCUUUUCCCUUUUCUUUUUCUUUUUCUUUUUCUUUUCUUUCUUUCUUUCUCUCUCUUCCUCCAUCUCUCUCUCUCUUUAUUUUCUCCCUCUCUCGGCAAACUCUCUCUCUUUCCCCGAUUUCUCUAUCUCUCCCUUCCUCUCAAACUCAAUCUCUCUAUCUCCCACCGGUGAAACCACCACCACUCCAACCUCCUUCUUAUUUCUUCCAUCCGACAAACCCAAGGAAGCACAAACCUCGCCGCCAUUUUUUUCAUCAUUUUUGGCGAGAUUCUUGGCCAAGGGGCUGAGUUCUCCCAUCUUUUUCACUCAAUCUCUCUCGGGUAACCUUAUUUUCAUCAUCUUCGGCCGAUUUAGGCCAAGGAGAGUUUGUCUUUAGCUCCGGCAAGCUUCUGAAAUUUCCGGCGAGACUUCUGCGAGUCUCUGGUCAUGUUCUCUGGAACACCUCCGUUUUGAUCUGAAUCCUUCGUUUCAAUCUCCUCUUCUCUCUCUUGGAUCGGCGUAGAUAAAAGACUCUUGCUACACAGAGCUCCAUAACCUCCACCACCUCCUCCUUUAGAGGCAAAGUCUUCUUCUUCGUCUUCCUCUUCUGCAUCUACAGCAUCCCAUUCCGAGCCAUCUUCUAUGGAGGCCGAGCAUCCUAUUGUCAGAGAGGUACCAACUAUUUCCUACUCUAGUUGAAAACUAGAGCCAGAGUAUAGAUUCGACCGUGAUUUAUUUUCACACUUGGAUCAGACCAUGUGGUCCUAUGAUGAGCUUGUUCAGAGGGGCAUUGACGCCAUCAUAACACCGGUAGACACAGUCGUCUAUCCCCGGUUGGUUGCACUGUUCUACCAGUACCUCCGGAUGGAUACGGAUGACAGACUUCUGUUGCAUACCACCAUUAACGGUCAAGAGAUCGAUAUUUCACUCCUGACCAUAGUUGUCACCUGUCGAUGCCCCCAUUCAUCUCCACUACCUACUGAUUCUCAGGAUCCAUUAUAUCAUAGUGCACCACCUUUUCCCUCUGAGCUGACUAUGGUAGCUACUCUAUCUCCACAUGUUCCCUUUGAGGGCAACACCUUUGCAGACCGGGUUGACAUUGAUCCCCAGUAUUGGUUCAUGGAUUCGGUGUUGUACCUCAAUGCCUUUCCAUCAGGCCAUGGUACUCAGAGGAGAGAGGGGAUUUUUCAGGCUCUAUACUGUUUAAGCCAUGGUUAUUGGAUUUCUGUUCCUACACUUAUUUGGGAGCUCUUUCACAAGUUCUAGAAGAAUCUGCAUCAUACAUGCAAUUCUAGAGCUGCAGCUUAGCCUUUACCUUAUGGCCACUUGAUUACUCAGUUACUCAAUGACCAGGAUUAUCAAUUUGACCCGAAUAAGAUCCCAGAGACUGAUGCAGAGAGAGAUAAGAGAGUCUAUGACUAGGCCAGAUGGACAAAGACCUAUAAUUCUUGUGUUAAAAAUAGAAAGAACAGGGGUAUAAAAGGACAGAAUACGCAGCAGAGAGUGGCAGAUGAGGCAGCUAUAGAGGAUACAGCUGAUAGAUCUCCUCCUAGACAAAGGCGUCGCACUACCACUGUAGCCACUACCUCAUAGCCAGAUGUACCUACUACAUCUCAGCUGGAUGACCCCUCUCUUGUCCCUCCCACCGAGCCGAUAGCAUAGACCAACAUUCGAUCCCGAUAUGUCAGCACUGAUUCUAGCUACAAAUCCGACGUCCUUCAGCUGCACACAAACUUCAUUUCAUUCAGAGCUGAUAUGAUCGAGCAUCAUAAGGAUAUCAUGAGCCAGCAUGAUGACCUGGUGAGGAGACAUAAUGAUUUAUUGAGGCGGCACAAUGACUUGAGGGCAGAUGUAGCUGAGGUUUAUAAAGUUCAAACAGGCUAAAAAGAGCCAUUUAGCUCAAUUUUGGAGCUAAGGAGCAAAUCCAGAAAGAAGUCAGAAAAUUACACCAGAGGAACUUCGAUCAAUCGAAGGAAAUCCCGAUCGAUCGAAGCUGGCUAUAAUCAAUCAAAAUGAGGCGGUGCCAGCUCAGCAUUGUAGAUAAAGCCCGGAAGAUAUUUUUGAGGACACGUCAGCUUCGAUCGAUCGAAGAUAAGUGUUUGAUCGAUCGAACUGACUGCUGGCAGUGUGCUGUCUAAUUCCCGAGCAUGCAGGACUCUAUCUAACUUGAGUAGCUGCGAAUUUCCUCCAAUCAUAGGCUAUAUUUCUGACUUGGUGCCUACUCAAAGAGGCUUGUAAUAGAUAUAUUGAAUAAUUAUUGUAAAAAUAUCAUAGAGAGUUGUUCUUACCAAAUAUAGAAAUAGUUUAGCUCUCUAGAACUAGGGUUUUGGGAAGAAAGUAAGGAUGAAGAUGAUGAUCCCAACCUCCAAGCUAUCCCUUAAAGGUUCCACGACCAGUAUAAUGAGUGGCUAAAUCCUUCCCUUGGGGCUAGAGAUAGCCCUUAGGCUUGCUUCUUAAACCUAGCUUUUGUGUAUUUUGGCGGAUUUUAGUUGUAAUUGAUGUUUUGACCAUGAAUAAAUAUAGAUCUUGUGAUUUUUACAUAA